rnacentral:rRNA from 1 species
GACGAACGCUGGCGGCGUGCUUAACACAUGCAAGUCGAACGGAAAGGCCCUGCUUUUGUGCGGUGCUCGAGUGGCGAACGGGUGAGUAACACGUGAGUAACCUGCCCUUGACUUUGGGAUAACUUCAGGAAACUGGGGCUAAUACCGGAUAGGAGCUCCUGCUGCAUGGUGGGGGUUGGAAAGUUUCGGCGGUUGGGGAUGGACUCGCGGCUUAUCAGCUUGUUGGUGGGGUAGUGGCUUACCAAGGCUUUGACGGGUAGCCGGCCUGAGAGGGUGACCGGCCACAUUGGGACUGGGAUGCGGCCCAGACUCGUACGGGAGGCAGAGGUGCAGAAGAGUGCACAAUGGGCGGAAGGCUGAUGCAGCAACGCCGCGUGCGGGAUGAGGGCCUUCGGGUAGGAAUCCGCAGUCGCCUGUGACGAAGCGUGAGUGACAGUAAUGGGUAAAGAAGCACCGGCUAACUACGUG